CCCCCCCCCCCCCGGAUUAGGAUUUUGAAGAUUUUGGGAAAUUCGAAUUUUUUUUUUCUUUUCAAGAUCUUUUCGAUGAGUCUGCCCCCCCCCCAUUUAAAAAACGAUGCUACGUGCCUGGCAUGUGCAUUGUAUGUUUUUUUGUUGAUGUGUACUCUACAUGUCUGUUUUGAUACAAUAUAUUGAAAUGAAAUUUGACGGGUUUUUUGGUAUAAUUUGGUAUUAUAUUAAUUAUAUUCAUUGACAUUAAAAUUUUGAAUGAAACU
rnacentral:misc_RNA from 1 species